rnacentral:lncRNA from 1 species
ACUUUCCUUUUUUUCCCCUAAGGAAAAGUGGCGUAGAGAAUGUGAUUAUGCCCCCAAGUGGUUGAUGGUAAGUAAGCUAUGCAUCAAAAGAUUAUUCUACUACAAAUUUAAUGCAUCUUGCUUUGUACUUGUCCUUUUCUUGGGGAGGUCUUAAGGAAUGGAACUCCACUCUAUGGUGAUCAACGCUGGACAUUGGAGAGUCGAUUCAAAAGGGUCCAUCACAUCUUCAGGCAUCCACAGAUUCUUCGUCAUUGCUCACCAUGGAACUUCCUUUGCUCAGGAACCCACAUCUUUCAAGUUGCAUCCUGGUGGGGUCAAUAUCAACACUCGAGGCUUCCAUUAAUGGAGAGGUUCCUAGAAGUUUGCUUGGUGAAGCUGAGGAUGAGGAAUGAAUGACAAGCAUAACUUUUUUAACCAAAAGUGGAAUAUCCCUCCCCAUCCAUGUACCCACUUCCCUAAUAUAGUGGUAGGUCGUUCAUGGUGGCCCUUCUUCUUUGGCUCUAUAAUCUUGGAAGCAACAAGCGUUAUCGUUCCUUUUUCUGGCCAGGUGCACUAGCGUUCUUACAGGUGUAACCAGACACAUCAUUAUUUUGUUCCUAGGAAAACAGUGUAAUUCUCUUUUCUUCCACUUUAGGUUGGUUUCCCUUGGAUUUGUUCCUGCGUGAUUGAUCAAAAGAUGGAGAGACGACGACUCUCCCAUUGCUUCCCCCACUUUUUUCUUAAGAAAAGACAAGAUCAGGAGAUGGUUGUGGAAAAAAGGACCAGUUGAAAAAAAUGGAAAGGGACUUGACGUUGGUGUUUCUGCUGGUAAUCGUAGUAUCCUGGACCCUAGGGUUUUACUUUGCAGGUAUGGCACAUGAUAAACAUGGAUGAUCAUAACUUUGCACACAAGCAACCAAGAGACGUGGCGAAACCCUAAUAUAGUCAUAUUCAGAUGAAUAUCUGGUCAAAAUUACAGAAAAACGACUCCGAAAAUGUAUGAUUUCCUAAAAUACAUGCUUUUUAGCUUUGUUCUUCUAUAU